UGUAUUUUUAGUAGAGACGGGGUUUCACCGUGUUAGCCAGGAUGGUGAAAAUAUUUUUAUUCCAUCCUCACACUUGGCUAUAAAGUUUGAAGAGCAAUGUCAUUUUCCCACAGAACUUUGAAGGCAUUGUUUCACUUUCUUCUAGCAUUCAGUUUUGAUGAUAAGAUGCAUGAUAGCAGUCUGAGUCUCAUUGUUUUAUAAUUGACUUUCCCCAUCACUUUUUCUCUUCUUUUUGGGACCUCAGUGACACAAAUGUUAGAUCUUUUAUAAUAGCCUCACAGGUCCUUGAGGCUCUGUUCAUUCCUGCCCCCCAACCCCCCGUUUGUUUUCUAGAUUGAGUAAUUCCUAUUGUUCUAUCUUCAAGAUUGUUGAUUUUUUUCCUCUGCCCUCUCCAUUUUGCUGUUAGCCUAUCUGUUGAGGUUUUUAUUUUUUUGUAUUUUUCAGUUCUAAAAUUCUGAUUUGGUUCUUUAUAUCGUCUAUUUUUUUGCUGACAGUUUCUACUUGUUUUAAGCAUGUUUAAGCAAAUUGUUGAGGCAUUUUUAUGAUAGUUCCUUAAAAGCUCUUGUCAGAUAAUUUUAACAUUUCUGUCAUCUCAAUGUUGGUGUUUAUUGAGCAUCUUUUCUCAUUCAAGUUGAGAUUUUCCUAGUUCUUGGUUUGAUGAGUGAUUUUUGAUUGAAACUGGGCAUUUUUGGUAUUGUGUUGUGAGACGUUGGAUCUUAUUUAAAUACUCAGUUUUAGCUUGCGUCCUCAGACACCACUCUGGCAAGGGAGAGGGCACAUUGCCUCAUUACUGCCAGGUGGGAGUAGAAGUCCAGAUUCCCCACUCACUCUCUAUUGAUACCUCACCAGGAGGGUUUCCUAGUUACUGCUAGGUGGGAGUGGGAGUUCCAGCUGCCCGUGCAACCUUCUCUGACACCACCCCAGCAGAAAGGGAGAGGGGCAACCACUUACAGCUAGCAAGUGUGGAAGUCUAAGCUUCCCUCUUGGCCUUUGCUGGUGGAUGGGAGUGGGACUACAGCUUUCUUCUGUGGUGUUAGAGCAGUUAUUAUCUAAUUGUUGGCUUCUCCAGCCCUAAGUCUGGGAUAUAUGAGACAAAAAACAAACUCAGGGAACUCACCAGUAUGUCACUUCUCUGCUACCAAGUUCCCUACCCAGUUUGUCGCCUUCUAUCCACCUUUCAGAAUUUUAUGUUUAUACAUAAUGUCCAAGUUCAAUUUUAGCUGUAUUUGGUGGGAAGCAUAGGGAAAAGUACUUCUACUCCAUCCAUCCCUCCUCCUGAUUUUUGUUUUUGUUUUUUUUGUUUGUUUGUUUGUUUGUUUGUUUUUUUGAGACGAAGUCUCGCUCUUGUUCCCCAGGCUGGAGUGCAAUGGCGCGAUCUCGGCUCACUGCAACCUCCACCUCCCGGGUUCAAGCGAUUCUCCUGCCUCAGCCUCCCAAGUAGCUGGGAUUACAGGCGCCUGCCACCACACCCAGCUAAUUUUUGUAUUUUUAGUAGAGACGGGGUUUCACCAUGCUGGCCAGGCUGGUCUCGAACUCCUGAACUGAGGUGAUCUGCCCGCCUCAGCCCCCCAAAGUGCUGGGAUUACAGGCUUGAGCCACUGUGCCUGGCCUCCUGUUAUUUUUUAAGAAUUGUAUUCUUGGUAUUCUGAAACUUAAAAAUUAUGUGUUUAGGUUUCAGAUCUUUUGUCAUUCAUUGUGCUGGUCAUUUGUUACAUCCCUUCAUUUUGAAGUCUUUUAACUCUGGGAAAUUCUCACAUAUUAUGUCUUUGAUCUAUUCCUUUAUUCCAUUUCCUUUAUUCUCUCUUUCUGGAAAUCCUUAAUGUUAGAUGUUAGAUCUCCUGAAUUUAUCUUUUGUAAUUUUUUAUCCACUCUCCUAUUUUCCAUCUCUCGCUCCCUUCCUCUUUCCCUCCCUCCCUCCCUAGCUUUGUCCCUCUCUUCCUUUUGUUUUUGUUUACUUUCUGAGAGAAGACUUAACUUUAUCUUUCAACCCUUCUAUUGCAUGUCUUUUCAUGUGGCAAUCAGAUUUUAAAUUUCUUAGUAUUCACUCUUGUUCUCUUUUCCUUUCUUAUUGCAUUCUGUUCUUGUUUUAUGGAUGUACUAUCACCUUGAAUCUGAAAAUAAUAGAGAUAUUUUUAUAUUUCUUUCUGUUCUUUGAAAUAUCUAUUUCAUUUGGAUUAUUUUUUCCCUUGUUUACUUAUUUUGGUCUCUUUCAAGUUGCAGUCUUUUCUCAAAUGCUUAGUGAUCCAUAGUUGUUUGCUGAUAUUUAAGAAUGUAGCAAUAAAAAUCUGAUCAGAAGCUCUGUAUAUGGGGGCAGGGCUAGGCAACUGGUGGCCUUCCUUUAGGAUGACUAGAGAGCUAACUUGCUAUGCUGCAGAGUCCCUGAAUGCCAGAAUGCUAACGUCUUUUCUUUGAGGUUGUUCAAUAGCCUUAGCGAAGAACCCUCUGGUUUUUGCCUAAUGGGUAGACACCUGGCUGCUGUGAAUUGUGCACAAGGGAGGGGGAGGGGGAUUCAUGGUUUGAUAUGCAGCCUUCCCAUUAAACUCCCAAUUUUCAGCCCCACAUUUGACUCCCAUCCUUUAUCAUACCUGGCAUUGUCAAGACCAAGACACUCCAGGCUUCUGCAGAGAAAGAGCAACUUCUUCCUCUGAAGCAUCACCUCCAUGCAUACUCCAGGCUGUGGCUUCCUCCACCAUGCUCCAUCAGUCACCAUUCCUCCAUUGACUUCUAUCUUCCAGAAAUUUGUUGAAAUCUCUCUUUUGCUGAUGGACCUGUUCCCACUCUCUUCAUCAUUGUGGAUUUAUACCCUUUUUAAUCCCUUUACAAUGAUUUUAGCAGGGUCUCAGGAGGAAGUGGAGAAAAACACAUGGUAAGUUUAUCAUCUUGACCUGGAAAUCUACUAGUCUACUUUUAACUGUUUGGGUUUUUUUUUUUCCAGUAAUUAUCUUCAUAUCUCUAAAUAAUAUACAGAUUUUUCUUUUUCUUUCUUUUUUUUUUUUUUUGAAACGGAGUCUUGCUCUGUCGCCCAGGCUGGAGUGCAGUGGUGCGAUCUUGGCUCACUACAACUUCUGCCUCCUGGGUUCAAGCGAUUCUCCUGCCUCAGCCUCCCGAGUAGCUGGGAUUACAGGCAUGCGCCACCACGCCCAGCUAAUUUUUGUAUUUUUAGUAGAGGUGGGGUUUUGCCAUGUUGGCCAGGCUGGUCUUGAACUCCUGACCUCUGGUGAUCUGCCCGCCUUGCCCUCCCAAAGUGCUGGGAUUACAGGCGUGAGCUACCACGCUCAGCCAAUAUACAGAUUUUUCUAUUUAUCAACUUUUAUUGAUCAAUUUUAGUCAUUCUCUAUUAACUUCCUGCUAUUUAUACCACCCGAAUGCCUUUCCCAUGCCUCCAAUAUAGCCAUGUCACUAAUUAUAUAUCCUCUAUUCCUUAUCUUUCUACCUUUAACUAAUAGACUUACUCUCCCUUUUCUCUCUUUUAACUUGUCAACUGCACUUUUAUAUUAACAAGGUUAAUAUUUACACUUUGUUCUAUAACCAUAAUUAAGUCAUCCAUACUUUGCCAGUAGGUCAUUCUAAAAGUUUAAGGGCAAUAAAGUGUUUACAUUAUUAUGAUUAUGUAAAUAUUGUUCCAGAAAGAUCCAAUUAGUAUAUUAGGAUUACAUUGCUUUUCUUAUACACCUUUUUUUCCUUAGAGUUUCUAAUUGUCUUUCUUUUUUUCCUUGCAUUGUCUGACUUUAUCACCUUCUUAAGUUAUUCCAAAGUCUCAAGGAAAGUAUAAAAUCAUUUGAAUCCCCUUUUUCCCCAGAUACCUUCUUCCUGGAGUCCUCCGUCUUCCUGUUCCAAUUUGGACGGAUUGCUCUGUAGGCCUGCGGUGCAGCUGUCAUCCUGGGACGUCCCUUCAUUAUUCUGGGUUGGACCCAAUCUUUCUUGGACCCCAUAUCUUCCUCUUUCUUAGUUUACUCCCUUGUAGUGGACAUUGUAGUUGUUCUGCAGCAUCCAUUCCACUCCUCUCCCGCUGUAUAACAACUAUGCAAUGUGAGUGGGAUUGACCCCACCACCAGCUCUAGGUGUAGGCCUUUAUUGGUAUAAACUGAUCUGAGUAAUUUCACCCUCCUAGCCACAGUGAUGACUGGUUCAGGGAUGACCCAAUCACAAUGAGGCUUAGGACUUUUAUUCAGCUUUUGAGGGAGGAGAUGACCUAUCUUCCCUUGGAUAAGAACAAAGAAGCAUGUAGCCUGGUUGCUGCUGUUAGCCAUCUUGUGAACAUGUGGAAGGCCUACCUGAGGAUGGAGCUGAAAAAUGGAGGAGGCAGAGCCAAGAGAAUCACAGAAAUGGAACCAUAUUCCGGAUCAUGCCAUGCCUGAAAUCUCCCUGCCUGUGGACUCUUCAGUUAAGUGAGCCAAUGAAUUGCAUUUACUAUUCAAGACAGUUUGAGUUGGAUUUUGUAUUGCUUGUCCCUGAAAGCAUUCUAAUUUAUGUUUUUGGUUUUCUCACUCUGGAAAGGGGAUGGGUGCAUGUUUGGUUAUAUGAGGUAUAUUUGCACCGUAUUAGGUGGAAGCUUUUUUUAAAAGCAUAAAUACGGGAGGAAGGCUAUAUGUGGAUGUUGGAUGACCAAAGGAGCGAACUCUACUGUUCUCUAGCAUCUAAUUUCCCAUGCUGUUUUUUGGGGGAAUCCCUGCCAAAUUGGGAGGCAUGGCCCUAUUUCCCACUAUGGAAACUGAUGGUGGUCAGAUAUUUUCUUUCCCAGCCCGCCAGGCAACAAGGGCUGAAUACUCUGUUCAUGGCCUUGAAUCUGGAACCAGCAACAAAAAGAAGGCAGGAAUAUACAAAAUUAACAAAAGGAUGAUAGAUUAGGAGAAUAUAUAAGGAAGAUAGUAAACCCAAUAGGAAAAUGGGCAUAGGAUAUGAAGAGUAAUUUAUAGAAGGGGAAACUUGAGUUUACACAAGGGGAAACUUGAAUAUAUUAAGAGCUUUUUCAACUCUGCCAAUAAUUAGAGAAAUGAAAUUAAAAUAAUAAUGAGAAGUCACUACAGGAAUGGUAACAUGUAGAAAGUCAGAUAUUAUCAAGUGCUGAUGAAUCAGGAUGUGAGGAAAAGGACAACCAUGAGUUGGAAUGUAAACUGGUACAGGUAUUCCAGAGAGAGUUUGGCAGCACCCAUGAAAUUAAGUAUGUGAAUACCCUACAACCCAGUAAUCCCGCUUCUGGGCAUAUAUUCCAGAGAAAUUCUCAUACAGGUCCUAAGAAAAUAUAGUUGAGGUUGUUCAUUGCAGCACUGUUUGUGGUAGUGAGGAAUCAGAAGCAAUCAGGUGUUCAUCACUAUAGGACAGGAUAAACAAACUGUAUAUUCAUACGAUGGAAAACUACAAAACAAAAGUAAUAAACUAGAUUUACAUAUAGCCACAUGGAUAGGUCUCUAAAAUCCCCAGCAUUGAGAGAAAAAAGUAAGAAACAGAAUAGUAUUUAUAGUACAAUUCCAUUUACAGAAAUGUAAAACAACACUAUGUAUUUUCAUGGAUAUGCAUAUAAAUAAACAUAUGGAAGACGGAUUGAAAGUAUACAUACGUUAAUUACACUGGAGAGGCUCACUGAGUUAGGCAGGAGAAUGGGAGUAAGGAUAGGGACUGAUGGGGAAGAAGAAGAAGAUAAAGUAAAAGAAGAACUAAAGUAAAAGAGCAGCCUUCAGUGAACUGGUCAUAAUGUGCCAUAAAUUGCAGAUUAUGAUUAACUAAACUCUGAAGUCCACAACAAAUAAACCAAAACAACAGAUGUGAGGAUGGUUGGAGCUCCCUUGCAGUGGCAUGUGCCAGUAGGAUAAGGUCCACUGGUAGGAGCAGUGCAGGGAGCAGUGCCAACAGCAGCAUUCUAACCAGGCUGUUUUUAUGGUGGACCCUUAGCUGUGGUUCCUGAUGCCUGCCUUCCUCGCUCCCACUCCAUGUUCUCAGCCUGAUUCUCUAGACUUCCGUGAGCUACCUGAUAACUUCAUAAUAAAUCUCUUUUCUAGGCUGGGUGCAGCGGCUCACACCUGUAAUCCCAGCACUUUGGGAGGCCCAGGCAGGCAGAUCGCCUGAGGUUGGGAGUUCGAGACCAGCCUGACCAACAUAGAGAAACCCUGUCUGUACUAAAAAUACAAAAAAUUAGCCAGGCAUGGUGGCACAUGCCUAUAAUCCCAGCUACUCGGGAGGCUCAGGCAGGAGAAUUACUUGAACCCAGGAGAUGGAGGUUGCAGUGAGCUGAGAUUGCACCAUUUUGAGACAGAGUCUUGCUCUUUCACCCAGGCUGGAGUACAGUGGUGCGAUCUCAGCUCACUGCAACCUCUGCUUCCAGGGUUCAAGCGAUUCUCCUGCUUCAGCCUCCUGAGUAGCUGGGACUACAGGUGCACGCCACCACGCCUGGCUAAUUUUUGUAUUUUUAGUAGAGAUGGGGUUUCACCAUGUUGUCCAGGAUGGUCUCCAUCUCUGGACCUCCUGAUCCGCCUGCCUCAGCCUCCCAAAUUGCUGGGAUUACAGGCGUGAGACACUGCACCUGGCCACAUCGUACAUUUUGUUGGAGAACAUCCUCGAGUAACUUCUUAAGAAAGUCAAGCCGUCUGGAGCUGUGACAGCCAUCUUGUGACCAUGUGGGGAUGAGCACGAGGAAGAAGACAACAUGUGAAGGAAGAAAGUCAGAAAGAGCCCAAUUUCUUGAUGGCAUCAUUGAGCAGCUGAACCCAUGCCACAGUUCCUGUUAACUUAAAAAAAUAAAUAAAGCCAUAUGUGUUUAAGCCA